GGGAAAUAUAGUUUGAUAGUUUGUGAUAUAAUAUACCAAUAUGAAGUCUUUACUGUUGUUAAUAACUUGCUUCACCGUUACAGUUCUGGGUUUUGAUUGCGCUAAUCAAGACGAUGGAAUCUAUGAAAUCGGUUGCAAGUCCUUUGUAAGAUGUAAAGAUGGCGAAGGUGAAACUGUUGAAUGUGAAGAAGGAUUUGUCUUUAAUCCAGAGAUUGAAGAUUGUGAUGAUGAAACUAACGUAGGACCACCUUGUGGAGAUUGGAUAGAUUGUUCAAACAUACCGGACGGCAAAUAUCCUGAUUACGAUCAAGCCUGUACGUCUUAUUAUACAUGUCAAAAUGGAGAAUUCUUCGGUCAUAAUUACUGUC